rnacentral:misc_RNA from 1 species
UCCCGGUUAACCCGGGCAGUCUCAUUAGAGUUCCCACCAUUACGUGCUGGCAACUAAUGAUAAGGGUUGCGCUCGUUGCUGGACUUAACCAAACACCUCACGGCACGAGCUGACGACAGCCAUGCAGCACCUGUGCAGCGACCCUUUCGGGAGAUCCCAUUUCUGGGACUGUCCACUGCAUGUCAAGCCUGGGUAAGGUUCUUCGCGUUGCAUCGAAUUAAACCACAUGCUCCACUGCUUGUGCGGGUCCCCGUCAAUUCUUUUGAGUUUCACCCUUGCGAGCGUACUCCCCAGGCGGCAUACUUAACGCGUUAGCUUCGGCACUGCUAGGGUUAAAUCCAGCAACACCAAGUAUGCAUCGUUUACGGCAAGGACUAC